rnacentral:rRNA from 1 species
UACGGAGGGAGCUAGCGUUGUUCGGAAUUACUGGGCGUAAAGCGCGCGUAGGCGGCUUUGUAAGUUAGAGGUGAAAGCCCGGGGCUCAACCCCGGAACUGCCUUUAAGACUGCAUCGCUUGAAUCCGGGAGAGGUGAGUGGAAUUCCGAGUGUAGAGGUGAAAUUCGUAGAUAUUCGGAAGAACACCAGUGGCGAAGGCGGCGACCUGGUCCGAUACUGACGCUGAGGCGCGAAAGCGUGGGGAGCAAACAGG